UACAGAGGUGGCAAGCGUUGUUCGGAAUUACUGGGCGUAAAGGGCGCGUAGGCGGUUCGUCAAGUCCUGUGUGAAAUCCCCCGGCUCAACUGGGGAACUGCACAGGAAACUAGCGGGCUUGAGUUCGGGAGAGGGAAGCGGAAUUCCGGGUGUAGCGGUGGAAAUGCGUAGAUAUCCGGAGGAACACCGGUGGCGAAGGCGGCUUCCUGGACCGACACUGACGCUGAGGCGCGAAAGCUAGGGGAGCAAACGGG
rnacentral:rRNA from 1 species